UACGAAGGGGGCUAGCGUUGUUCGGAAUUACUGGGCGUAAAGGGCGCGUAGGCGGUGUGUCAAGUCAGGCGUGAAAGCCCCGGGCUCAACCUGGGAACUGCGCUUGAGACUGGCACGCUCGAGUUCGGGAGAGGAUGGUGGAAUUCCCAGUGUAGCGGUGAAAUGCGUAGAUAUUGGGAGGAACACCAGUGGCGAAAGCGACUUUCUGGGGUGUUUCUGACGCUGAGGUUCGAAAGCGCGGGGAGCAAACAGG
rnacentral:rRNA from 1 species